GACGAACGCUGGCGGCGUGCUUAACACAUGCAAGUCGAACGGAAAGGCCUUUUCGGAGGUACUCGAGUGGCGGACGGGUGCGUAACACGUGGGUGAUCUGCCCUGCACUCUGGGAUAAGCCUGGGAAACUGGGUCUAAUACCGGAUAGGACCGCACUUUAGUGUGUGUGGUGGAAAGUUUUUUCGGUGUAGGAUGAGCCCGCGGCCUAUCAGCUUGUUGGUGGGGUAAUGGCCUACCAAGGCGGCGACGGGUAGCCGGACUGAGAGGUUGGUCGGCCACAUUGGGACUGAGAUACGGCCCAGACUCCGACGGGAGGCAGCAGUGGGGAAGAGUGCACAAUGGGCGCAAGCCUGAUGCAGCGACGCCGCGUGGGGGAUGACGGCCUUCGGGUUGUAAACUCCUUUCGCCAGGGACGAAGCGUUUUGUGACGGUACCUGGAGAAGAAGCACCGGCUAACUACGUG
rnacentral:rRNA from 1 species